AGCGAACGCUGGCGGCAGGCCUAGCACAUGCAAGUCGAACGAAGUCUUCGGACUUAGUGGCGGACGGGUGAGUAACACGUGGGAACGUACCUUUUGGUUCGGAACAACUCAGGGAAACUUGAGCUAAUACCGGAUGAGCCCUUAGGGGGAAAGAUUUAUCGCCGAAAGAGCGGCCCGCGUUAGAUUAGCUAGUUGGUGAGGUAAAGGCUCACCAAGGCUACGAUCUAUAGCUGGUCUGAGAGGAUGAUCAGCCACACUGGGACUGAGACACGGCCCAGACUCCUACGGGAGGCAGCAGUGGGGAAUCUUGCGCAAUGGGCGAAAGCCUGACGCAGCCAUGCCGCGUGAAUGAUGAAGGUCUUAGGAUUGUAAAAUUCUUUUACCAGGGACGAUAAUGACGGUACCUGGAGAAAAAGCCCCGGCUAACUUCGUGCCAGCAGCCGCAGUAAGAC
rnacentral:rRNA from 1 species